rnacentral:rRNA from 1 species
CCUGAUGCAGCCAUGCCGCGUGUGUGAAGAAGGCCUUCGGGUUGUAAAGCACUUUCAGUUGUGAGGAAAAGUGAGUAGUUAAUACCUGCUCACCGUGACGUUAACAACAGAAGAAGCACCGGCUAACUCCGUGCCAGCAGCCGCGGUAAUACGGAGGGUGCGAGCGUUAAUCGGAAUUACUGGGCGUAAAGCGCACGCAGGCGGUUUGUUAAGCUAGAUGUGAAAGCCCCGAGCUCAACUUGGGAUGGUCAUUUAGAACUGGCAGACUAGAGUCUUGGAGAGGGGAGUGGAAUUCCAGGUGUAGCGGUGAAAUGCGUAGAUAUCUGGAGGAACAUCAGUGGCGAAGGCGACUCCCUGGCCAAAGACUGACGCUCAUGUGCGAAAGUGUGGGUAGCGAACAGGAUUAGAUACCCUGGUAGUCCACACCGUAAACGCUGUCUACUAGCUGUUUGUGGCUUUAAGCCGUGAGUAGCGAAGCUAACGCGAUAAGUAGACCGCCUGGGGAGUACGGCCGCAAGGUUAAAACUCAAAUGAAUUGACGGGGGCCCGCACAAGCGGUGGAGCAUGUGGUUUAAUUCGAUGCAACGCGAAGAACCUUACCUACACUUGACAUGCAGAGAACUUUCUAGAGAUAGAUUGGUGCCUUCGGGAACUCUGACACAGGUGCUGCAUGGCUGUCGUUAGCUCGUGUCGUGAGAUGUUGGGUUAAGUCCCGCAACGAGCGCAACCCUUGUCCUUAGUUGCCAGCAUUCAGUUGGGCACUCUAAGGAGACUGCCGGUGACAAACCGGAGGAAGGUGGGGACGACGUCAAGUCAUCAUGGCCCUUACGUGUAGGGCUACACACGUGCUACAAUGGCAUU